GCGUAAUGAUUUAUUGAUUGUAUUGCAUUGCCCCAGAGUUAGUGAGACUUGGUGUUAAAGUGCUGUCACCAUCCUAACUGAGACUAACCUAACACUGUACUGAGCAGACAACACAUUCUGGACUUCACUGUAAAUUACAUUAGAUGCUGAAUUAUACAGGACUUUUGGAUAUUGUCUAACUGACUCUGUCAUCUGGUUGCUCAUGUGUCUAUGCAUGCAUAAGUCCUUUGUGUUCUUGGAAGUUAUACAUUUCACCUGCUUAGGAAGAAGCACAUAUACCUCAAAACAGAUUUACCACCUAGAAAGUGCCAGUUGCGAUAGCCACUGUUCUGUAAUGAUAGUAUUAACACAAACCAUGGCUAAAACACUGUGAGAUUGUUGAGGCCAGACCAGGUAAGGUCUGCAGAUUUUCAUUCCCUAAUGAACAUUGGUCGACCAAAUUUUUGUUUUAAUGACAAUAUAAUGUUCCCAUGAUCAUUAUGGAGAAUAACCUUUUUAUUCUCUAUCUAUUCAUUGAUUUAAAUGCCCUCGUUGCCAUGCCGCCAUCUGAACUUGCUUCUCUGGAGCAAUAUUCUGGUGUUCCAGUAUCAGUGUUACUAUUCCUCUUCUGUGAUCUAAAUGGGAGGUACUUUAAUGUCCUGAGUAGGUGAAUUGGGUUGGGCCAAACAAAUGUGUGCUCAUUUGCACCUAUCUUGUGACCAGUGGUUGUAUUUGAAUUCCUACAGACCACCUUCAUUUCAAAUCAUCUUUUCCAAGAGUCCCUUAGAUGCUUCUUGAUUUCUCAUGGAAGCAGAUGAUGUUGAAAAUUGAUCCACGUGGACCAGGGAUGUAUUUUGAUUGAAAAUUAGUAUCACCUGGAAAUCGAUGCAGUGUUCAAGAGGAGACAGCUUCACUUUAGGUUCAUUAUUUCAACCCUUAAUAGCUGGUCUUUGACAAAAGUUACAGUACUACCAAAUCGGUGUUCACUGACGUGCAGCACCAUUCUGAAUAGAUCUGUUCACAGCUAGAUAUUCAGUGUGAAGAGGAUCCAGAUUGGCUGUCUUCCACAGUUGUUAAUUUGACUACAUCCAAAAGUCUUGAAUUACACCAAGACUGACACUCAGUGCCUUGAAACACCAACUUGAAAUAUCAGUAAGUGAAGAAGUUGUUGAACAAGACAGUUGUUUCAAACUCUGGUCUUCUCUAUCUAUCCAAUUUGAAAAUUUUGCAAUGAUAUAGUUCUCUAGUUUUGUCUCUGUAAAUACAAUUAGGUUUAGUCAAGAGAAUAAGGAGUCUCGGGAUCCUUACACCUUCCUACCAUUUGGAGUCGGCCCUCGGAACUGCAUUGGGAUGCGAUUUGCUCAACUGGCAAUGAAGAUGGCACUCACUUCUGUCUUUCAACACACGACCAUUGUGACUUGUAAAGAGACACCGAUUCCAGUAGAACUAGAUGUGACAGGAUUCAUGCGGCCUAAAAAACCCAUCGUCCUGAAAUUUGUGCCACGGCUGAACGCUGAUUGAAAGGAAUAAACUACUUGGUCGAUUCAGAGCUAUGAAAAUAUAUAGGACUAUGUAUGCAUCAAGAUAAUCAAAUGAAAGUGCAUGGAAACUUAAUUCAAUUAUAAAUCUAUAGAAUCAGAAAAAACCAUUAACAUACAUGUUAAUUUUUUACUUCCUGCUGUGAAAACAGUGAGAGAGUCACUCAUGUUUUACGAGGUGAUUUAUUCAAUAGGAAAACAUCUGUCAAUUGACUAACAUUUUUGUAAUCUCAGGUAUAGAAAUAAAUCAUGUGAUUGUAAAACUA